UGUUUUUAUUUUAUUUUU
rnacentral:sRNA from 1 species